rnacentral:rRNA from 1 species
GAGUUUGAUUCUGGCUCAGAUUGAACGCUGGCGGCAUGCCUAACACAUGCAAGUCGAACGCGAAAGGGUUUCGGCCUGAGUAGAGUGGCGGACGGGUGAGGAAUGCAUCGGAAUCUGCCCCAUGGUGGGGGAUAACCCAGGGAAACUUGGGCUAAUACCGCAUGAUGUCGAGAGACCAAAGCGGGGGAUCGAAAGACCUCGCGCGAUGGGAGGAGCCGAUGUCCGAUUAGCUAGUUGGUGGGGUAAAGGCCUACCAAGGCGACGAUCGGUAGCUGGUCUGAGAGGAUGAUCAGCCACACUGGGACUGAGACACGGCCCAGACUCCUACGGGAGGCAGCAGUGGGGAAUAUUGGACAAUGGGCGAAAGCCUGAUCCAGCAAUGCCGCGUGUGUGAAGAAGGCCUGCGGGUUGUAAAGCACUUUUGUCCGGAACGAAAAGCUCGUGGUUAAUACCCAUGGGUGCUGACGGUACCGGAAGAAUAAGCACCGGCUAACUUCGUGCCAGCAGCCGCGGUAANACGAAGGGUGCAAGCGUUAAUCGGAAUUACUGGGCGUAAAGCGUGC